rnacentral:lncRNA from 1 species
AUGGUGAAUGUCUCUAAAACCCUCUAGACUUUCUGUAACAUGUGUGGCAUGUGCCAAGUACCAACUUCAUGCCAAGAUCAGGAUAAGAAGGGCAAGGAUUCUCUGUGUGCCCAAGGAAAGUGGCGUUAUGAUAGGAAGCAGAGUGGCUAUCAUCAUCAUAGGCAGACUAAGCUGAUUUUCCAGAAAAAGGCUAAAACACAAAGAAGACUGUGCUGAGCUUGAAUGCGUUGAGCCCAACUGCAGAUCUAAGAGAAUGCUGGCCAUAAGAGAUGCAAGCAUUUUGAACUGGGAAGAGGUAAGAGAAAGGCCAAGUGUUGAUCUAGUUU